GAAAGAACGAGCAUUUCGUAAAGUUUCUUGAAAGUGCAAGUGCAAGUGAAAUGUUUUAAAGACAAUUAAAUGAGCAAAUAAUUAGAGAUGUUGAGUUGAAAUAUCCAGACUUAGAACUCAGUUUGGAAAAUAAGUGGAUUACAUUUCGAACAAAGUUUAAACAGUUGGAUCAAGAAAGGGCAAAGGAGCAUUACAGCCUGGAUCGUUAAACCAAUUUAAAUAUAAUGGUAUAGGCGAAGUUGCGUUAAAUGUUGGGAUAUUAUUUUAUUAUAAAUAAAUAAACUCGAGUAAUUAAUAUUAAUUAAUUAG